rnacentral:lncRNA from 1 species
GUCAACAUGGUGUAUUUGCUUAUGGUGUCCAUGGAUGACAUAUGGGUCAUUGGUCAACAUGGUGUACUUGCAAAUGGUGUCCAUGGAUGAAAUAAGGGUCAUUGGUCAACAUUGUAGUUGCUUAUGGUGCCCAUGGAUGACAUAUGGAUCAUUAGUCAACAUGUAGUUGUUUAUUGUGUCCAUGGAUGACAUAUGGCUCAUUGGUCAAAAUGGUAGUUACAUAUGGUGUCCAUGGAUGACAUAUAGGUCAUUGUUCAACAUGUAUUUGCUUAUGGUGUCUGACAUAUGGUUAAUUAGUAAACUUGGUGUAAUUGCUUAUGGUGUCCAUGGUUGAUGACAUAUGGGUCGUCGGUCAACUUGGUAGUUUCUUAUGAUGUCCAUGGACGACAUAUGCAUCAUUGGUUAACAUGGUGUAGUUACUUAUGGUGUCCAUGGAUGACGUAUGGGUCAUUGGUCACCAUGGUAGUUGCUUAUGGUGUCCAUGGAUGACAUAUGUGUUAUUGGUCAACAUGGUGUAGUUACUUAUGGUGUGUUUGGAUGAAAUAUGGGUCAUUAGUCAACAUGGUAGUUGCUUUUGGUGUCUAUGGAUGACAUAUUGGUCGUUGGUCAACAUGGUGUAGUUGCAUAUGGUGUCCAAGGAUGACAUGUAGGUCAUUGGUCAACAUGGUGUAGUUCCUUAUGGUGUCCAUGGAUGACAUAUGGGUCAUUGGUCAAUAAGGUUUAGUUGCUUAUGGUGUCCAUGGGUGACAUAUGGGUCAUUAGUCAGCAUGUAGUUGCUUAUAUUGUCCAUGGAUGACAUAUGUGUCAUUGGUCAACAUGUUAUCGUUUCUUAUGGUGUUCGUGGAUGACAUAUGGGUAAUUGGUCAAUAUGGCAUAGUUGCUUAUGGUGUCCAUGGAUGACAUACGGUUCAUUGGUCGACAUGGUAGUUGCUUAUGGUGUGAUCGUAUCACCCAUAGGUGACAUAUGGGCCAUUGGUCAACAUGUAGUUGCUUAUGGUUUCCAUGUAUGACAUAUGUGUCAUUGGUCAACAUGGUAGUUGCUUAUGGUGUCCAUGGAUGACGUAUACGUCAUUAGUCAACAUGGUGUAGUUGCUUUACGUGUCCAAUGGAAGACAUAUAGGUCAUUGGUCAACAUGGUAGUUACUUAUGGUGUCCAUGGAUGACAUAAGGGCAUUAGUUAACAUGGUGUAGUUACUUAUGGUGUCCAUGAAUGACAUAUGGGUUAUUGGUCAACAUGGUAGUUGAUUAUGGUGUCCAUGGAUGACAUAUGGGUCAUUGGUCAAUAAGGUGUAGUUGCUCAUGGUGUCAAUGGAUGACAUAUAGGUCAUUGGUCAACAUGGUGUUAUUGAUUAUGGUGUCCAUGGAUGACAUAUGGGUCAUUAGUCGACAUGGUGUAUUUACUUAUCGUGUCCAUGGAUGACAUAUGGGACAUUGGUCAACAUAGUGAAGUUGCUUAUGGCGUCCAUGGAUGAAAUAUGAGUCAUUGGUCAAAAUGGUAGUUGCUUAUGGUGUCUAUGGACGACAUAUUGGUCAUUAGUCAAGAGCUAGUUGCUUAUGGUGUCCAUGGAUGACAUAUGGGUCAUUGGUCAACAUGGUAGUUACUUAUCGUGUCCAUGGAUGACAUAUAGGUUAUUGGUCAACAUGUAGUUGCUUAUGGUGUCUGACAUAUGGGUAAUUAGUAAACUUGGUGCAAUUGUUUAUGAUGUCCAGGGAUGACAUAUGGGUCAUUGGUCAACAUGGUAGUUGCAUAUGGUAUCCAUGGAUGACAUAUGGGUUAUUGGUCAACAUGGUAGUUGCUUAUGGUGUCCAUGAAUGACAUAUGGGUCAUUGGUCAACAUGGUGUAGUUGGUUAUGGUGUCCAUGGAUGACAUAUCGGUCAUUGGUCAACAUGGUGUAUUUGCUGAUUGUUUCCAUGGAUGACAUAUGGUUCAUUGGUCAACAUGGUGAGGUUGCUUAUGGUGUCCAUGGAUGAAAUAUGGGUCAUUGGUCAACAUGGUAGUUGCUUAUGUUAUCCAUGGAUGACAUAUGGGUGAGUAGUCAACAGGUAUUUGCUUAUGGUGUCCAUGGAUGACAUAUGGGUCAUUGGUCAAAAUGGUAGUUACUUAUGAUGUCCAUGGAUGACAUAUAGGUCGUUUGUCAACAUGUAGUUGCUUAUGGUGUCUGAGAUAUGGGUAACCAGUAAACUUGGUGUAAUUGCUUAUGGUGUCCAUGGAUGACAUAUGGGUCAUUGGUCAACAUGGUAGUUCCUUAUGGUGUCCAUGGAUGACAGAAGGGUCUUUGGUUAAGAUGACGUAGUUACUUAUGGUGUCCAUGGACGACAUAUGGGUUAUUGGUCAACAUGUUUGUUGCUUAUGGUGUCCAUGGAUGAUAUAUGGGUCAUUAGUCAACUUGGUAGUUACUUAUGGUGUCCAUAGAUGACAUAUAGGUCAUUGGUCAACAUGUAGUUGCUUAUGGUGUAUGACAUAUGGGUAAUUAGUAAACUUGGUGUAAUUGCUUAUGGUGUCCAUGGAUGACAUAUGGGUCAUUGGUCAACAUGGUAGUUGCUUAUGGUGUCCAUGGAUGACAGAAGCGUCAUUGGUUAACAUGGUGUAGUUACUUAUGGUGUCCAUGGAUGACAUAUGGGUCAUUGGUCAACAUGGUAGUUGCUUAUGGUGUCCAUGGAUGACAUAUGGGUCAUUGGUUAACAAGGUGUGGUUACUUAUGGUGUCCAUGGAUGACAUAUGGGUCAUUAGUCAGCAUGGUUUAUUUUCUUUAUGGUGUCCAUUCAUGACCUAUGGGUCAUUGGUCAACAUGGUGUAGUUGGUUAUGGUGUCCAUGGAUGAAAUAUGGGUCAUUGGUCAACAUGGUAGUUGCUUAUUGUGACAACUCGAAAUUUUCAUUCGGUCAAACCCUAAAAGUCAAUCACUCCAUAUUACAAGUCAAGUUCACUUUUACUUGUUUUUGGGUAAAAUAAGUUCAAUUGGUUAUUUUAAUAUUAUUCUUUAAACGAACGGGUGAAAGAAAGUGUCGUCUCGGGUUUUGAAAUUUAAAAACCGCAAACACCUCGUGUCUUAGAAGUUCACGAUCAAACUUUUAAGUUUGGGUUGAAAAAUUAUCCAAAAACGUAAACUCAUGCGUUAAGCAUGAGUUUACUCCCCAAAAACUAGUCAUUUUGUGUUUAGUCCCCAUUUACCAAAAGAGUAAACUCCAAAAAUCCUCUCAAGUAUUAUCCAAGUUUUGUUCAAUUCUCUUCAAUCAAGUAAGUGUUUCUAGCCCUUUCAAUUUAGUAUAUCACUUAAUCUGGUGAUUGUACAUCCUUUAAUCGAUCCAUUUAUGUGUUUUGAUUAGUUUUUCCAAAACACCAAGAACACAUACUAGUGUUCUUGGACUUAAAUUUCAUUUCAAGCUUCAACAAUGUAAGUACUUCUAUCCUAGAGUAAUUUAAAGCUAGCUAUACAUGUUUAUACCAAGGAAAGGUCCCAAGAACACCAAGAACAAGGUGUUCACGGUUUUGGGAGGCUCCCAAAACCGUAAACACCAAAUAUAGUGCCUUAGGGUGCUUUAGGGUGUCUAGAUGCUUCACAAUGCCUUAGGGACUUGUCUAGAUCCAUCCUUGACGAGUGUAUCACACAAAAAGCAAAAAAAUCCUACAUUUAUAUGUGUUUACGGUUUGGGGAUCUCCCAAAACCAUAAACACCUUAAAAGUUGUAUAAAUGUCCCAUAAAUGUCCCAUGGUUGUUCCUUAUGCCUAGAAUCCAACCUAGACUAGUGCCAUGAUUGAGCUAAGGACUUGAAAACCCCCAAAUACCAAACUUGUCAGUUUAAGGUAGUAAACUCAUGAGUUUAUGGUAGUAAACUCAUGGAGAAAUGUUCCUUGGACCGUAAACUCCAUUUAGGAGUGUUUUGAUGCCACACAACACUUCCUAAGGCUUAAACAUGAAGUAGGAAUGUUUGGAAUAGCUUAGAAGACUUCAAAACAUCAAAUGGUCAAAAGGUUAGGAGUUUAUGACCGUAAACUCAAGAGUUUACGACCGUAAACUCAAGAGUUUACGACCGUAAACUCAAGGGGUGUUGGUCUUUAGGGAGUAAACUCAUUUNNNNNNNNNNNNNNNNNNNNNNNNNNNNNNNNNCUAGCCUUUCCCUACAACACUUAGAUGUACUCCUUAGCACUUAUAACACUUAUACAAAGUGUUUGUCAUGUCCCAGAGUGUCUUGACUUGUUUAUUAGUUGUUUAAACUAAUUGUUUAUAUACAUAUGUCCUCAUAUGUAAUUAGGAUCUUUGUGUAUGUCUAAGUCUUCACUUGACACCAAGCACUUAUCCGACACUUCCAUCCGAUCCACUCGCAACAGGUGAGUUCAUACCCCUUAAUCAACCUUUUAAAUGUUUUUAAAUACUUUAUGGGGGGAUACAAGUAGAAUCAUGCUACUUAUUAUAUCAAUCACUUGUAAUUAAUAAGCAGCAUUCAAAUGAUUGGCUACUCAUUAGCCGUUUUACCAAACAGUUUCCUUCAAAUGAUUUUCAUAAACACUUUAUAUGUUUAAAACUCCUUAUUAAACUAUACAUUUUACUAUGUAUGUUUCAUUUCAAGCUCAUUUACUAUUGUGUUUCAAACAAAUGUUUCUUUAUACUAAACUAUUUUAUCAAACCCAUGCUUCCAACCCGUUUUAUAGAUUGACAUCAAGUCAAUCUUUUAUUAGAUAAUAAUUAUGUCCAAAGGUUUUACAAAACUUAUUUUAUGCUUUUAUGAUAUCAAUUGCAUGCCUAUAUAUGUAUAGUUAUAAAAGAUAUGUUUAAAAGACUUAGGAAGGUGAUCCACCCUAUUUCCUUUUCGCGCUUGAGAUGUGGUCUGGUGGGAUAUCGGGUAUCCGUCCGAAGGUUGUUUAAAUAUUAGUUAUAUAUCAUAUGUACAUAUAUAGUCAUAAUGGUCCUUCCAGUUCAUCCAAUGCCCUUGGGUAGCAAGGGUAUACAUUCCCAUGUUCAUACGUACCAGUUAAAUUACUAGUAAGCUACCAUAUGGGUAGUUUAGGAAGAUACUAGAACUAUUACUAGAACGCGAUAUCAUACAAUGAGUCAGUUCAUUCAUGAGUCAAUACUUGCUAGAUAGAGAGAACAUACAUUACAGCUAGUACACACAGUACAUUACUAUANNNNNNNNNNNNNNNNNNNNNNNNNNNNNNNNNNNNNNNNNNNNNNNNNNNNNNNNNNNNNNNNNNNNNNNNNNNNNNNNNNNNNNNNNNNNNNNNNNNNNNNNNNNNGUGAGCCAUUAAACAGGUCAUGACACUACCUGCCAUGACCGUUUUUGUGUCCAGAAUCUCCUUAAUUGGGGAGCGUAUGAGUUUGCGUAUAGAUCUAUACUGGAUUGACUAUCCUACACCUUGCUGCUCGCUAUAGUGGGACUUGCAAGUCUACGGGUGCCAAAUGUCAUUUCUUACGGCGUCUUACAUCGUCGUUUUACUAUAGUCGGUAGCAGGAUACAGGUCGAUCACAUGUUACUUUAAAUUACAUUAGAUUUAAGGUAGUUAGUAUGGUUGUAGUUAGAUACUACACCAUAGUACUGUUUCAUUUUCCCAUUACAUUCACUUCGUGAACAUUCACACGAUGUGCGGUAAUGUAGAAACUAUAUUUUUGAUUAAUGAUAGUCAUAUUUGGGAAAAUACACACUCUUACAAGAGCCACACAUACAGACACUAGAUGCCUUGGUAGAAGGAUACGAUUAGUAGGAAACAUAAGGCUUCCUAGGAUCAUACAAAAAACAUUUUAAUACUUACAGUUCAUACACAUUUUCAAUACUUACAGUCGGUAUACAUACAAAUACUUACAUACAAAUUAAGACACUAAAAUACUUAUGAUCUAACCAGCUUUAAAGCUGAUACUCUCUUUCAAAAUAACUUGUAUCCUCAGGUCAACCAUAGACAGGUACCGAUGCAAGGUUUAGAGAGAUGAAGCUCNAGGUUUAGAGAAGAUGAAGCUCGUUCAAGACUCAUCUUUCCUUUUGUUUAUACUUUAGUGUCUAUUAUAAUUUGACAUAACACUUGUAUUAAAAUUAUAUUAUUAAUGCAAUAGAUGAUGUUGUUGCUUGUUUACUACUUUUCAUUUUUCUGAUAAUGUACAUGGCGUCCUCCGCCCCAGAACGUUUCCAUGGAUGACAGAAGGGUCAUUGGUUAACGUGGUGUAGUUACUUAUGGUAUCCAUGGAUGACAUAUGGGUUAUUGGUUAACAUGGUAGUUGCUUAUGGUGUCCAUGGAUGACAUAUGGGUCAUUGGUCAACAUGGUAGUUACAUAUGGUGUCCAUGGAUGACAUAUAGGUCAUUGGUCAACAUGUAAUUGCGUAUGGUGUCUGACAUAUGGGUAAUUAGUAAACUUGGUGUAAUUGCUUAUGGUGUCCAUGGAUGACAUAUGGGUCAUUGGUCAACUUGGUAGUUGCUUAUGGUGUCCAUGGAUGACAGAAGGGACAUUGGUUAACAUGGUGAAGUUACUUAUGGUGUCCAUGGAUGACAUAUGGGUUAUUGGUCAACAAGGUAGUUACUUAUGGUGUCCAUGGAUGAUAUAUGGGUCAUUUGUCAACAGUGUGUAGUUGCUUAUUGUGUCCAUGGAUGACAUAUGGGUCAUUAGUCAACACGGUGUAUUUGCUUAUGGUGUCCAUGGAUGACCUAUGGGUCACUGGUCAACAUGGUGUAGUUGCUUAUGGUGUCCAUGGAUGAAAUAUGGGUCAUUGGUCAACAUGGUGGUUGCUUAUGGUGUGAUGGUAUCACCCAUGGGUGACAUAUAGGCCAUUGGUCAACAUGUUAUCGUUGCUUAUGGUGUUCGUGGAUGACAUAUGGGUCAUUGGUCAACAUGGUGUAGUUGCUUAUGGUGUAAAUGGAUGACAUACGGUUCAUUGCUCGACAUGGUACUUGCUUAUGGUAUGAUGAUAUCACCCAUGAGUGACAUAUGGGCCAUUGGUCAACAUGUAGUUGCUUAUGGUAUCCAUGUAUGACAUACGUGUCAUUGGUCAACAUGGUAGUUGCUUAUGGUGUUCAUAGAUGACGUAUAGGUCAUUAGUCAACAUGGUGUACUUGCUUUUGGUCUCCAUGGAUGACAUAUAGGUCAUUGGUCAACAUGGUAGUUGCUUAUGAUGUCCAUGGAUGACAUAAGGGCAUUAGUUAACAUGGUGUAGUUACUUAUGGUGUUCAUGGAUGACAUAUGGGUUAUUGGUCAACAUUGUAGUUGUUAAUUGUGUCCAUGGAUGACAUAUGGGUCAUUGGUCAACAUGGUGUAGGUUCUUAUGGUGUCCAUGGAUGACAUAUGGUUCAUAGGUCAACAUGGUGCAGUUGCUUAUGGUGUCCAUGGAUGACAUAUGCGUCAUUGGUCAACAUGGUGUAUUUUCUUAUGGUGUCCAUGGAUGACAUAUGGGUCAUUAGUCAACAUGGUGUAUUUGCUUAUGGUGUCCAUGGAUGAUCUAUGGGUCAUUGGUCAACAUGGUUUAGUUGCUUAUGGUGUCCAUGGAUGAAAUAUAGGUCAUUGGUCAACAUGGUAGUUGCUUAUGGUGUGAUGGUAUCACCCAUGGGUGACAUAUGGGCCAUUCGCCAACAUGUUAACAUUGCUUAUGGUGCUCGUGGAUGACAUAUGGGUCAUUGGUCAACAUGAUAUAGUUGCUUAUGGUGUCCACGGAUGACAUACAGUUCAUUGGUCGACUUGGUAGUUGCUUAUGGUGUGAUGGUAUCACCCACGGGUCACAUAUGGGCCACAGGUCAACAUGUAGUUGCUUAUGGUUUCCAUGUAUGAGAUACGGGUCAUUGGUCAACAUGGUAGUUGCUUAUGGUGUCCAUGGAUGACGUAUAGGUCAUUAGUCAACAUGGUGUCGUUACUUUUGGAGUCCAUGGAUGACAUAUAGGUCAUUGGUCAACAUGGUAGUUGCUUAUGGUGUCCAUUGAUGACAUAAGGGCAUUAGUUAACAUGGUGUAGUUACUUAUAGUGUCCAUGGAUGACAUAUGGGUUUUUAGUCAACAUUAUAGUUUCUUAUUGUGUUUAUGGAUGACAUAUGGGUCAUUGGUCAACAAGGUGUAGUUGCUUAUGGUGCCCAUGGAUGACAUAUGGGUCAUUGGUCAACAUGGUGUAGUUGCUUAUGGCGUCCAUGGAUGAAAUAUGAGUCAUUGGUCAACAUGGUAGUUGCUUAUGGUGUCCAUGGAUGACAUAUGGGUCAUUGGUCCACAAGGUGUAGUUGCUUAUGGCGUCCAUGGAUGAAAUAUGAGUCAUUGGUCAACAUGGUAGUUGCUUAUGGUGUCCAUGAAUGACAUAUUGGUCAUUAGUCAAGAGGCAGUUGCUUAUGGUGUCUAUGGAUGACAUAUGGGUCAUUGGUCAACAUGGUAGUUAUUUAUGGUGCCCAUGGAUGACAUAUAGGUCAUUGGUAAACAUGUAGUUGCUUAUGGUGUCUGACAUAGGGUAAUUAGUAAACUCGGUGUAAUUGCUUAUGAUGUCCAUGAAUGACAUAUGGGUCAUUGGUCAACAUGGUAGUUGCUUAUGGUGUCCAUGGACGACAGAAGGGUCAUUGGUUAAUGUGGUGUAGUUACUUACGAUGUCCAUGGAUUACAUAUGGGUCAUUGGUCACCAAGGUGUAGUUACUUAUGGUGUCCAUGGAUGACAUAUCGGUCAUUGGUCAAUAUGGUGUAGUUGCUUAUGGUGUCCAUGGACGACAUAUGGGUCAUUGGUCAACAUGGUGUAUUUGCUUAUGGUUUCCAUAGAUGACAUAUGGGUCAUUGGUCAACAUGGUGUAGUUGCUUAUGGUGUCCACAGAUGAAAUAUGGGUCAUUGAUCAACAUGGUAGUUGCUUAUGGUGUCCAUGGAUGACAUUUGGGUCAUUGCUCAAAAUGGAGGUUACUUAUGGUGUCCAUGGAUGACAUACAGGUCAUUUGUCAACAUGUAGAUGCUUAUGGUGUUUGAGAUAUGGGUAAUUAGUAAACUUGGUGUAAUUGCUUAUGGUGUCCAUGGAUGACAUAUGGGUCAUUGGUCAACUUGGUAGUUGCUUCUGGUGUCCAUGGAUGACAGAAAGGUCAUUGGUUAACGUGGUGUAGUUACUUAUGAUUUCCAUGGAUUACAUAUGUGUUAUUGGUCAACAUGGUAGCUGCUUAUGGUGUCCAUGGAUGACAUAUGUAUCAUUGGUCAACAUGUGAUCGUUGCUUAUGGUGUCCAUGGAUGACAUAUAGGUCAUUGGUCAACAUGUAGUUGCUUAUGGUGUCUGACAUAUGGGUAAUUCGUAAACUUGGUGUGAUUGCUUAUGGUGUCCAUCGAUGACAUAUGGGUCAUUUGUCAACAUGGUAGUUGCUUAUGGUGUCCAUGGAUGACAGUAGGGUCAUUGGUUAACAUGGUGUAGGUGCUUAUGGUGUCCAUGGAUGACAUUUGGGUUAUUGGUCAACAAGGUAGUUGCUUAUGGUGUCCAUGGAUGAAAUAAGGGUCAUUGGUCAAUAAGGUGUAGUUGCUUAUGGUGUCCAUGGAUGACAUAUGGGUCAUUAGUCGACAUGGUGUAUUUGCUUAUGGUGUCCAUGGAUGACCUAUGGGUCAUUGGUCAACAUGGUGUAGCUGCUUAUGGUGUCCAUGGAUGACAUAUGGGUCAUUAGUCAAUAGGUAGUUACUUAUGGUGUCCAUGGAUGACAUGUAGGUCAUGGGUCAACAUGGUAGUUACUUAUGGUGUCCAUGGAUGACAUAUAAGUCGUUGGUCAACAUGUAGUCGCUUAUGGUGUCUGACAUAUGGGUAAUUAGUAAACCUGGUGUAAUUUCUUAUUGUGUACAUGGACUACAUAUGGGUCAUUGGUCAACAUGGUAGUUGCUUAUGGUGUCCAUGGAUGACAGAAGGGUCAUUGGUUAAAAUGGUGUAGUUACUUAUGGUGUCCAUGGAUAACAUAUGGGUUAUUGGUCAACAUGGUAGUUGCUUAUGGUGUCCAUGGAUGAUAUAUGGGUAAUUGGUCAACAAGGUGUAGUUGCUUAUGGUGUCCACGGAUGACAUAUGGGUCAUUGGUCAACAUGGUGUAUUUGCUUAUGGUGUCCAUGGAUGACAUAUGGGUCAUUGGUCAACAUGGUGUAUUUGCUUAUGGUGUCCAUGGAUGACAUAUGGGUCAUUGGUCAACAUGGUGUUGUUGCUUAUGGUGUCCAUGGAUCAAA